AUGCAGACAACAGGAUGGAAUUCAGAUACCAGAUAUCGAAUUAUGAUUCAGCUUGCAAGGAGAAGAGAAGUUAAAAAUAGGGUUAAACCUGUAGCAUCCAUGCUCUAUGAAGAUGGAAGUCUGCAUAUUUUUUCUGGCGAUCCCAGGGCCCUGCCAUCUCAGCUGAUAACACCAUACAGGGAGACAAGGAUAAAUGAUGCAAAGACUGAACACGUGUGCUGUUUGCAGCAAGCAGUUGUUUGUAUCCAAAGAAGAAUAUAAAUCUCAGGACUUGUACUUGAAAUAGAAUCAUGGAUCCUUAGCUUGGGAGAAUUUUAAAGAUGAUCUAAGAGUGUGGUAUGUAAAUAUUAAUGCCCAUAAUAAAUUCAUGCAGACCAUAUUUAAUUACAGAUGCUUGCCCUUCAUGCUCAAAACUAUUACAUAUUUUCAUGGUGGGAACUGUUGUAGAUUUGAAGAGACUAAUUGCAUUUAUUUUAUUGUUAUUCUCUGUUCUGACGAAUAUGUUUUUUCUUAAGUUAUUUGUUCAGUUGGUGUUUCCUUUGCAUACUGGUUUCUUCAACAGAGCAUUUUGGCGUAUCAGGUAACACUUGCUAACAAUGGUUUGAUUUACCAAUAUCAGGAAUUGAAGUAGAUACACUUAAAAAUGUAAAAAAAAAAAAAUGUACUCUGUAGUAUAAUUACAAGGUCUCAGGCUCUGUAGAGAGGUUAAGUGGAAUGGAGAGGAGGCAGCGGGGAGCAGGUAGGUAGCAAGUUAGGCUUUCCUUUAGGGUGGAUGGAGAGUUUGCCUUAUGAGACAUUAGGGGAAGAGUCGUCUUGUCCUUUGCAGUGACAGAAACUUGUCUGAAUUACUGCUUCUCUUCUUUCAGCCCCAGCAUACCUUUGAAAUUUCUACUGAAAAGAUCCCCAACUUCAUUCAGAAAGACCAUCUUUCAGCUUUUGCCUGGGGGCAAAUGCCUUAGCCCUUAGCUACCUAGGGGACCAGACUGCCUUAGUGUCCUCCAAAGUCCCCACUGCUCCUUAUCAAGGUCUGCUUUUGAAGUUUUAAUACCAGCUUAAAAUGAAAUUCUGAUGAGAUCUUUCACUAUUUAAAAAAACAAUUCUUUCUAAGCCUGUGUUGGACUGUAAGUUCCUCAUCGCUUUGUCUCUACACUGCUUCAGACUUUCUGGACAUCCAUUGUUGGAGCUGGCUGCUACAACAUCUCAGUUUUCCAUUGCUGCCUUAAAACAUAUUCCUUUUCUUUCUUAGAAGAUUUUGGGAGGGAAGAGAGACAAAUGUGUAUAAUAGUUGCCUUAAAUGUGAAACUGCCAACUGAAUUUGAUAUAUGAUUGUCCCUUUACUCCAAAUAAUUCCUGAUACAAUAGGAAUUCCCUACUUUGGUCUGCAAUUCAGUAGCACUGUUGAUUAUAUAGUUUGAAUUAAAUUCUAGCCCCUUCUGAUACAAUAGUCCACAUCUAUGAAUUAUUACGCCUCAACCCAAUUCCUAGGUGCUCCUCAACCCAAGCUGACCUAUGUGUACUUUCAAGGUACCUGACCUUUCUAUGUGUUGGAGGAGUGAAUGUGGGGUGGGUGCCAUACACCUGGAAUUCACCCAGCAGUAGUUGUCUAAACAUUUGGUACAGAACAGCCACAUGUUAAAUAGCUGCUAGUAUCAUAAAGAUUCCAGCAAAAGGAUGAGAUGGAAGAAUUGUAAUAUUUUGGCUUUAGCAAUGAUGUCAGAAAAGUUUCAUUCUGAAUCCACCUUGUGUCUUUAGCUUGACAGUGUCUUGGCGUCUUUCAUUGAGCAGAAUAAAAUUAUCUGGUAAAUUAUGUGUUAGAAAAGUCUCUCAAGCUUCUGAAGUUCUUUUAACUCAUAUAGAACAAGAAGCAGAAUACACUAAGAGAAACAUACUUUACAGUAUAAUAAUAUAGAUUUAGUAAUAUAGUAUGCUGUAAUUUAUAUUAUACGAUAAUAUAUAGUAAUAUAUAAAUAGUACCUUAUAGUAUAGAAUACGAUAAUUUAGAAAAUAAUAAUAGAAAAGUAGUAUAGAAAUGCCAAGUCAACAACAAUCUUAACAUCCUAAAGCUAACUGUAAUUGCUGAUUUUAAUCUUUUGAACCUUAAUUUGUAAUAUACUAUGUGAGUGUGUGUUUCUGUAUGUGUGUUUCUAUGUGGCAUGUGUGUGUGUAUUUUAUUCCUUACUCUGAAUCUUCUUUAAAUUAUGGAAAGGAAGCCUACUUUUUUUUUUUUUUUUUGACAGGAUCUCAUUCAGUCACUCAGGCUGGAGUGCAGUGGCAGGAUUUCAGCUCACUGUUACCCCCGCCUCCCAAGCCGACGCGAUUCUCCCACCUCAGCUUCCCUAGUAGCUAGGAGUACAGGUGCACACCAACUUGGCUAAUUUUUUGUAUUUUUAGUAGAGACAGGGUUUCACCAUGUUGCCCAGGCUGGUCUCAAACUCCUGGGCUCAAGCAAUCCACAUGCCUCAGCCUCCCAAAGUGCUGCUUUUAUAGGUAUGAGCCACUCGGCCUGGCCUGGAAAGGAAGAUUUCUUAUAUGAGUUGUUCUACACAGUAAGUACAGAACAACAUCUAUGACUAUGAUUGUAUAAUUUUUCUAUUAUUUCCUGUAAAUUAUGACAUGUAGCUUGUAACAUGACGAGACCAAGGA
ensembl:lincRNA